rnacentral:lncRNA from 1 species
UUGACAUCUUUUGCUUUUACAAAAAAGUUCUUUAGAUAUUUUUGUUGUUUGCUAGUUUUGUAUCCUAAUCCGGCUUUAUUAAAAACAGCUCUUUGAUUGGAUAGGAUAAGAUUUAAUUUUUUUGAGCUAUGUGUAAAUUUCUGCACAAUUGGUUUAUACUUGUGUAGCUCAUCUUUAAGGUCCAAAUUUUCUUUAGCUAAUUCUUCCUUAUCAUUUUUAAGGGAUUCAACAUUUUGUGCAAGUGAAGUAUUACUAUUGAGGAGGAUGUGUCACUAUCAUCCCAAGUCGCUUUCAACGCCUUCUUCUUCUUCUUUCCAUAGUGCCUCUUCUGUUGAGGGCAUUCGGAGCGGAUGUGUCCCGGUCUCUUGCAAUCAUAACAUAUGAUUGGGUCUCUUUCUUUUUCUUUUCCUUUUUCCAAUCAUUUCUCCCUCCAAACUUCUUUCUUGGGAAGGCCUUCUUUCUUCUUAUGAAUUUUUGGAACUUCCUUACUAUUAAGCCCAAGUCUUCAUCUUCACUUUCUUCUUCACUUUCACUGCUUUCUUCUUCACAAAC